CCUACGGGUGGCUGCAGUGGGGAAUAUUGCACAAUGGGCGCAAGCCUGAUGCAGCCAUGCCGCGUGUGUGAAGAAGGCCUUCGGGUUGUAAAGCACUUUCAGCGGGGAGGAAGGCGGUGAGGUUAAUAACCUCAUCGAUUGACGUUACCCGCAGAAGAAGCACCGGCUAACUCCGUGCCAGCAGCCGCGGUAAUACGGAGGGUGCAAGCGUUAAUCGGAAUUACUGGGCGUAAAGCGCACGCAGGCGGUCUGUCAAGUCGGAUGUGAAAUCCCCGGGCUCAACCUGGGAACUGCAUUCGAAAGUGGCAGGCUAGAGUCUUGUAGAGGGGGGUAGAAUUCCAGGUGUAGCGGUGAAAUGCGUAGAGAUCUGGAGGAAUACCGGUGGCGAGGGCGGCCCCCUGGACAAAGACUGACGCUCAGGUGCGAAAGCGUGGGGAGCAAACAGGAUUAGAUACCCGGGUAGUC
rnacentral:rRNA from 1 species